rnacentral:rRNA from 1 species
AUUGAACGCUGGCGGCAUGCCUUACACAUGCAAGUCGAACGGCAGCAUGGAAGAGCUUGCUCUUCUGAUGGCGAGUGGCGAACGGGUGAGUAAAGCAUCGGAACGUACCGUGUAGUGGGGGAUAACGUAGCGAAAGUUACGCUAAUACCGCAUACGCCCUACGGGGGAAAGCAGGGGACCUUCGGGCCUUGCGCGAUUGGAGCGGCCGAUAUCAGAUUAGGUAGUUGGUAGGGUAAAAGCCUACCAAGCCUGCGAUCUGUAGCUGGUCUGAGAGGACGACCAGCCACACUGGAACUGAGACACGGUCCAGACUCCUACGGGAGGCAGCAGUGGGGAAUUUUGGACAAUGGACGCAAGUCUGAUCCAGCCAUUCCGCGUGCAGGAUGAAGGCCCUCGGGUUGUAAACUGCUUUUGUACGGAACGAAAAGGUCUCUCUUAAUACGGGGGGCUCAUGACGGUACCGUAAGAAUAAGCACCGGCUAACUACGUGCCAGCAGCCGACGG